rnacentral:rRNA from 1 species
GAUGAACGCUGGCGGCGUGCCUAACACAUGCAAGUCGAGCGAUUCUCUUCGGAGAAGAGCGGCGGACGGGUGAGUAACGCGUGGGUAACCUGCCCUGUACACACGGAUAACAUACCGAAAGGUAUGCUAAUACGGGAUAAUAUAAGAAAUUCGCAUGUUUUCUUAUCAAAGCUCCGGCGAUACAGGAUGGACCCGCGUCUGAUUAGCUAGUUGGUGAGGUAACGGCUCACCAAGGCGACGAUCAGUAGCCGACCUGAGAGGUGAUCGGCCACAUUGGAACUGAGACACGGUCCAA